rnacentral:tRNA from 1 species
GGUUUAGCUCAGUUGGUAGAGCAUCGGUCUCCAAAACCGAGUGUCGGGAGUUCGAGUCUCUCAACC